AUGCCGCCGCCGCCGCCGCCGCCGCCGCCGCGGCAGGACUUCCCGGCGUUCCCUUUCGCGCCGUACCCGAUCCAGUCGGAGUUCAUGUCCUUCCUCUACAGCGCCCUCUCUUCCGGCCCCCGCGCCCUCGCGCUCCUCGAAAGCCCCACCGGCACCGGAAAGACCCUCAGCAUCAUCUGCAGCGCGCUCCAGUGGCUCCUCGACCACCGCGCCGCCGGCCACGAACGGGCCAAUGGCUCCGCCCCCGCUGCUGUCGGCGGCGAAGACGACGACGAGCCCGACUGGAUGCGGGAUUUCACACCGCUUCCGCCUAAGAAGGGCACCGGUAAGAAGUCGGAGACUCACCCCCGGAGGAGGCAGGGGAUGAGGAAGGUGGGGGGUUCGGAGAAAUCCGAGGGAAUUGCGGAGAACGACGGCGAGGAGGAGUUCUUGCUUGACGAGUACGAGAGUGAUGACGAGGAGGGCACAAGGCCGCAUGCCGCCGGGAAGCGGGCACACUGUGGUGGUGGUGGUAGCAGUAGUAGUGAGAGCGAGGACGAAGAGGAAGAAGAGGAGGCGACUCCCAAGGUGUAUUUCACCAGCCGCACGCACUCGCAGCUCUCGCAGUUUGUCCGGGAGCUCAAGAGGACGGAUUUCUCCGGGAAGCUCAGGACGGUGUGCUUGGGGUCCAGGAAGAGCUUGUGUAUUAACAAGGAUGUUCAGAAGCUGGGGAGCGCAAACCGGAUCAACGAGAGGUGCUUGGAACUGCAAAAGAACAAGAAGAGCAGCAAAAUUAAGGUCGAGGGUGAUAACAAAAAGGGGCACCGAACAAAGACCUCCUGUGGGUGCCCAAUGUUAAGAAACAGAAGUCUGCAGAAACAGUUCAAGAGUGAAGUGUCUGACCAUGGUGCAUUGGAUAUUGAGGAUUUGGCACAAAUUGGAAGGAGGAUUGGAACAUGUCCAUACUACAGUGCACGUGACAUGGUCCGCUCAGCUGACCUCGUAGUACUUCCUUACCAGUCUUUGUUGCUGAAGUCUGCUAGAGAAUCACUUGGCCUUAAUCUGAAGAACAGUGUUGUCAUCAUAGAUGAGGCUCACAACUUAGCAGACUCCCUUACUAGCAUGUACAACUCAAAGGUCACAUCUUCUCAGUUGAGGGCAGUUCUUUCCCACCUGGAGGCAUAUCUCAAUAGAUUUCAGAAUGUUCUGGGAGCUGGAAAUCGACGUUACAUCCAGACCUUGACAGUUCUAACACGGUCAUUCCUACGAUGUUUGAUAAGUAAUGAAGAUUGUUCCUCCGCUGUGACCUCUUUGACUAUAAAUAAGUUCUUAUUCUCCCUUGAUAUCGAUAACAUAAACAUAGUAAAACUUUGUCAGUAUCUGAAGGAAAGCAAUAUAAUCCACAAGGUUAGUGGAUAUGCCAACAAAUUAUUUUUCACCGAAACUGGUGUGGGUGAUUUGAAUCAUGGGCAGCAACAUGGUGAAGGAAGCAGUAUAACAAGCUUUCAGGGUUUGGCUGACUUUUUACGCUCUCUACUGUACUUCAAUGAUGAUGGAAGAAUCAUAGUUGCACGGCACAAGCCUGGUGGACACUCUGAAGAUGCAUAUAUCAAAUUUGUGAUGCUUUGUGCAGAGAAAACAUUUUCUGAGGUUACAGAUGACGCACAUGCUGUUAUUAUGGCCGGUGGAACCCUCCAGCCUAUUGAAGAAACAAGGCUGCGCUUGUUUCCAGGCUUAUUGCCUAGUGAUAUAAAAUUCUUCUCGUGCAACCACAUUGUCCCCCCUGAGAGUAUUCUUCCUAUAGCUGUUACAUGUGGGCCCUCAGGCAAGAAAUUUGAUUUCAGCCACAGCUCAAGGAGCUCUCCUACCAUGAUCGAAGAGCUUGGACGUUUUCUUUGCAAUAUAGUGACAAUAGUACCAGAGGGAAUAGUAGUGUUUUUCUCUUCCUAUGAUUAUGAAAAACAAGUUUAUGAUGCAUGGAUGGCUUCAGGCACAAUUUCUAAGAUUUCUAAGAAGAAGCACGUGUUCAGAGAGCCAAGAAGCAGUGUGGAUGUCGAGAUGAUACUCAACAAAUACAAGGAGGCAAUUCAAUCCUGCUGCAGCAAUGGUUCAGGAGACACAAGUGUCAACGGGGCACUUUUAAUGGCUGUUGUUGGUGGGAAGAUCUCUGAAGGCAUAAACUUCAGUGAUGGUAUGGGUCGUUGUGUUGUGAUGGUUGGAUUGCCUUAUCCAAGCCCAGAUGAUGUGGAACUGAUGGAGACAAUAAAACACAUUGGAAACCAUUCCACCUCCUCUGUGGCUGGAGAUGAUGAGUCCUUGAGCAGAGACGAUGAAUGCAAGGUUGAGCCUGGUUUUGGUAUACUAAGGAAGAGUGGUAAAAGUGGUCAAGAGUACUAUGAAAACUUAUGCAUGAAAGCCGUGAAUCAAUGUAUCGGCAGAGCAAUCAGGCAUGUAAAUGACUAUGCUGCAAUGCUGUUGGUUGACUCGCGUUACUUGCACACGUCAUCAGGCAGGGGUUUCUCUUGCCCCGUUGAAAAGCUCCCCCAGUGGAUCAAGACACGACUGACUUGCGGUCAAAACUAUGGGGAAGUUCAUAGGUUGUUGCUUCAGUUUUUCAGAACCAAUAAACAAAUUCAUUGA
rnacentral:rRNA from 1 species